UUUUAUUUUUUUUGCUAACACUGGAUUUUUUUACCUUCACCGUUGCCAUUAUAAGCUCAAAGUUCGGCUACUGCAAGAAAGACAGAGAUCACCGCUUUUUGCUCAAGUUCUCCCUUUCGCUCGCGGGGCGGUCUGUUCUGCUCUCUAAUUGGUCCGCUUACCUGGCGCCGGAAAUUUGAACAAGUUCGUACAACGGUUCUCAUCUCAGAAGAAGCUGAAUUGUGCUCAAACCUCGACAAAGAAAAGAACGCUGUUUGGACCUCGUCAGCUUUCAACAAAUAAAUGGCUGAGCAAACACUUUUACGCAGUGCUAUCAGUGAAGUGUUGCCCGGUCUUGCAGAGGCUUCAAAAGACAUUCUCGAGGAGACUUUACAGUCAAUUGGAGUAGAAACGUAUGAUGACUUCCAGUUCAUUGUUGAGGAAGACUUGCUGUCAGCAUUAAGAACAAUUCAAGCCAGAAAGGCACUUGCUGCUUGAAAAUUCAGAAGCCAGACCCCUGAAACCAGCAGGUCCUCAAGUAAUGCAUCACCAGAUACUCCUCCAUCACAGCCGUCUUUGUCCCCGCUAAGUGUGUCAUCAAACUCCUCCAGCAGCAACCAGACAUCUGCAGCAGACUGGGUGGACACCUUUGAGAUACCAUGGGAAAAGUUCUCAGAAGAACUGAUGCAGGCAUUAGAGAGAGGUAAACGGCCAAGUCCAAAAAUGAGGAAGGAGAUGGUCAGGAUUGUGGUGUCUGAAAUGAUGCGAAAAAGUUCUUACUUGGGUAAAAGGAGUUCUACAGAGGUUGCAAAGAAGAUGGUGGCAAAAUAUCCAAAAUCUCUACAAGAUGUUAUCGAUGGAGAUGUCAUUGGCCCUGGCUAUCAUUCACUCGUCAAACAACUUCAAUAUCGAAUUGAGAACGUGAAGCGAUCUACAAUGCCUAAAAUA